CUUGAAGACAAUGGAAAUCCCCAUUGUCUAUCAUCCAGGAUUGACGUCAAUACUAGGAGAGAUAGAAAGCUGGCCUUAAACAUGAUGCAGGAAGCACAGUUCCCUGCCUCUGCAUCCCAUGUGAGAUCAUUUGUACAAAUCUUGAAACCAAAGCACAGCCUGUAUGAACCCAUGUUGAACCCUGGACUUUCAGGACUACUGUAUGGCUAACCACAGCCCUGCAAGGCCAGGCUCAGCAUGUCACAGUUUUGCCACUGAACAAGAAUCUUUCGAAGGAUCGCAAAUACUACAUGGAAAAUGACUGUAUUCUUUCUGCAAGGCCACUCUCUUAGACAUCACCCUAACAAAAACAAUUACGGGUUGGAAGAGGAGAAAGGAUGCAAAGUUUGUGCCUUGACCUAAAAAAGGUCAUGAGCACCUCUACCGGUUCUUGGAAACAUUAGUUGCAGUGGAUCUCAAAUUCUAUUGCGCAAAAGAACGACCUGGUGACCCUCUAAAAGUGUAGAUUCUCUGGUUUCACCCCUAGACCUUGUGACUCACAUGUCCAGUGAGGCCAGGAACUCCUCACUGUUAACCUGUGCCCUAUUUUAACAAGCCCUGCUGGGAGUCGGGAUGUUGGGGGUCCCCACACCAC
rnacentral:lncRNA from 10 species